CCUACGGGAGGCAGCAGUGGGGGAUAUUGCACAAUGGGGGGAACCCUGAUGCAGCGACGCCGCGUGUGGGAAGACGGUCCUCUGGAUUGUAAACCACUGUCAGCAGGGAAGAACGGUCACUGUGCUAAUCAGCAGUGAAUUGAUGGUACCUGCAAAGGAAGCACCGGCUAACUCCGUGCCAGCAGCCGCGGUGAUUCGGAGGGUGGGAGCGGUAAUGGGGAUUACUGGGCGUAAAGCGCCCGUAGGCGGUAUGUCAAGUCCAGGGUGAAAUCCCCGCGCUCAACGUGGGAACUGCCUUUGAAAGUGGCAAACUGGAGUGUGUGAGAGGAUAGUGGAAUUCCAGGUGUAGGAGGGAAAUCCGUAGAUAUCUGGAGGAACAUCAGUGGCGAAGGCGACUAUCUGGCACAUAACUGACGCUGAGGAGCGAAAGCGUGGGUAGCAAACAGGAUUAGAUACCCCAGUAGUC
rnacentral:rRNA from 1 species